rnacentral:lncRNA from 1 species
GGCCUCUCGGGCCCGGGCGGGAGGGGCGGUCGGGAGGACUCGGAGGCGGGAAGUGGCGGACGCCUUCCCGAGGUUCCUCCUCUGCCCGCCCAUGGCCUGAGGCUAGGAUGACCGGAGCUCUAGUUUGUUCCUCGGACGUGACUGCGGAGCUUGUGCUAGCACAUGUGCUCUGCCAACAGAAGACAAAACUGGGACUCUCCAGGGGAGAGGAGGUUCUCCUCAACAACAAGGGGAUAAGACCUAAAUACAACAACUUAACCAAUGCCUACUGUAGACGUAAAGACCACCCAUAUGGGGGCAAACGGAGGUUAUUGAUCCAAAGCUUGCUACUCCAAAGGAGUCACCCACCUCACAUUUGGCAGAGGCUCUCAGCUAGACAUGUAAGUGGGAAAGUUUUAUAGUGGAAAAUGAGAAAGGCUUCAGAUAUGCCUUGGUUGGAAGU